GCUGGCUUGAAUAUCACCUCUUUCCCUCCUCAUUAUCCCUCUACCUAGACAAAUUCUAAGAUUAAUUUUUUAUACCUCUUUUAUAACUCUAAUCACCUAAUAGAGUUUUGUUUAAUAUCUUUCUUUCCUAUUGGCCUAUGUGCUCUUUAAAGGCAAGUACUGUAUAUUAUUCAUUUUACAACUUCUGAGCCUUGGUUUCCUCACCUAUAAAAUGGUUGUAUGGGCCAGGUGCAGUGGCUCAUGCCUGUAAUCCCAGCACUUUGGGAGGCCGAGUUGGGCAGAUCACCUGAGGUCAG
rnacentral:lncRNA from 1 species